ACGCCACAGACCUUUCGUCUUUCACUGCUCCUUGCCACCAGUGACUGUGACCGACCGAUUGGCCGUUGGCGAUUGUUCAAGACCUUCGAUGAGCGGCACCGUUCAUCUUCUCACUUGCAGACCGAGCGAGAAGGGAGGACUUGGCCACUUGGGGCAGGAGCCUUUCGAAAAAUGAAAAAAAAAAAGAAAUCAGUCUUCUAGUUC
rnacentral:lncRNA from 1 species